rnacentral:rRNA from 1 species
UCCAGACUCCUACGGGAGGCAGCAGUGGGGAAUAUUGCACAAUGGGGGAAACCCUGAUGCAGCGACGCCGCGUGAGUGAAGAAGUAAUUCGUUAUGUAAAGCUCUAUCAGCAGGGAAGAAAAUGACGGUACCUGACUAAGAAGCCCCGGCUAACUACGUGCCAGCAGCCGCGGUAAUACGUAGGGGGCAAGCGUUAUCCGGAUUUACUGGGUGUAAAGGGAGCGUAGACGGCGUGCCAAGUCUGAUGUGAAAGGCCGGGGCUCAACCCCGGGACUGCAUUGGAAACUGGCAUGCUGGAGUGCCGGAGGGGCAAGCGGAAUUCCUAGUGUAGCGGUGAAAUGCGUAGAUAUUAGGAGGAACACCGGUGGCGAAGGCGGCUUGCUGGACGGUAACUGACGUUGAGGCUCGAAAGCGUGGGGAGCAAACAGGAUUAGAUACCCUCGUA